CGGGGGCCGGGGCCGGGGAUGCAGCUGCGCCUCGGCUCCCGCCGCCGCACCGGAUUUCACCCACGGCAACAUCGCCCGCCUGGGGCUGGGCACCAUGGUCCUGCUCGUCCUGGGGCUGAUCCUGGCUAAGGCCUAUUACAGCAGCCCGACGGGAACGGCUCUAGGAGCCUGGAUCCGGCCAUGCGGAGAAAAGAAUCUCCCCAGGGGUUGAGCUGCUUCCCCUUGGGGGGCUGAGACUCCAGCACAAACUCCGCUGCCCCACAAACACGCCUGCCUCCGAGAUCCCCACCACCACCACUCCCGAUUUGACAGCCGCACCUCAAUAUUGAAUCCCUGAUCCCUGGCCCCGCAGCACCAGCCCCUGUGAUGGGCACGUUGGGCUCCCCACAGAGCAGUCCCUGGAAGGCGCCAGGGUCUUACUCUCUGGCCCAGCUGGGCCGGUCUCUGCUCCAGGCUGGACUGAGGGGAUCGGGGGUGGGCAGGGAUCAGGGCUGGGACUGGGGCAGAGGGUUGGGGCCCAGGAGGGAGUCAGGGGUG